UACGGAGGGUGCGAGCGUUGUCCGGAAUCAUUGGGCGUAAAGGGCGCGUAGGUGGCGCGGUAAGCGUGCGGUGAAAGCCUGGGGCUCAACCCCGGGUCGGCCGUGCGAACUGCUGGGCUUGAGCACUGUAGAGGCAGGCGGAAUUCCGGGUGUAGCGGUGGAAUGCGUAGAGAGUCCGGAAGAACACCGGUGGCGAAGGCGGCCUGCUGGGGCAGUUGCUGACACUGAGGCGCGACAGCGUGGGGAGCAACAGG
rnacentral:rRNA from 1 species